rnacentral:rRNA from 1 species
AGUGAACGCUGGCGGCGUGGAUUAGGCAUGCAAGUCGAGCGAUCCUUGUUGGACUUUUACUGGAGUGCUUGCACAAAGGUAAAAGACUGACGCGGGAUAGCGGCAAACGGGUGAGGAACACGUGAGAAAUUUUCCCUAAAGUCGAACAUAGCUUCGUGAAAACGAAGGUAAUAUUCGAUGUGGUACUUUGGUCGCAUGGCCGAAGUAUUAAAGGUGGGGACCCUUCGGGGCCUAUCGCUUUUGGAUGAUCUCGCGACCUAUCAGCUUGUUGGUGAGGUAACGGCUCACCAAGGCAUUUGACGGGUAGCUGGUCUGAGAGGAUGGUCAGCCACACUGGGACUGAGACACUGCCCAGACUUCUACGGAAGGCUGCAGUCGAGAAUCUUUAGCAAUGGACGAAAGUCUGACUAUGCGACGCCGCGUGCAGGAUGAAGGUUUUCGGAUCGCAAACUGCUUUUGUCAGGAAAGAAAGUUUCACUAUUUAAUAAAUAGUGAGAUUGACGGUACCUGACGAAUAAGCCACGGCCAACUCCGUGCCAGCAGCCGCGGUAAUACGGAGGUGGCGAGCGUUACUCGGAAUUAUUGGGUGUAAAGGGCAAGUAGGCGGUCUAUUAAGUGAGGGGUGAAAUCUUCCGACUCAAUCGGAAAAUUGCCUUUCAAACUAAUAGACUUGAGAUUGGAAGGGGGAAAUGGAAUUAGCAGUGUAAGGGUGAAAUCUGUAGAUAUUGCUAAGAACACCGGCGGCGAAGGCGGUUUCCUGGUCCAAAUCUGACGCUAAAUUGCGAAAGCUAGGGGAGCGAACAGAAUUAGAUACUCUGGUAGUCCUAGCCGUAAACGAUGAGCACUAGGUGUUGGAACUUCGGUUUCAGUGCCGCAGCUAACGCAUUAAGUGCUCCACCUGGGGACUACGGCCGCAAGGCUAAAACUCAAAGGAAUUGACGGGGACCCGCACAAGCGGUGGAACAUGUGGUUUAAUUCGAUGCUACGCGAAGAACCUCACCAAGGCUUGACUUGCUCGUCGUAUCUCUCUGAAAGGAGAGAGUCGGUUAGGCCGGACGAUGCACAGGUGCUGCAUGGCUGUCGUCAGCUCGUGUUGUGAAAUGUUGGGUUAAGUCUCGCAACGAGCGCAACCCCUAUCUUUAGUUGCCAG